rnacentral:rRNA from 1 species
AGCGUACACGGUGGAUGCCCUGGCAGUCAGAGGCGAUGAAGGACGUGCUAAUCUGCGAUAAGCGUCGGUGAGGUGAUAUGAACCGUUAUAACCGGCGAUUUCCGAAUGGGGAAACCCAGUGUGUUUCGACACACUAUCAUUAACUGAAUCCAUAGGUUAAUGAGGCGAACCGGGGGAACUGAAACAUCUAAGUACCCCGAGGAAAAGAAAUCAACCGAGAUUCCCCCAGUAGCGGCGAGCGAACGGGGAGGAGCCCAGAGCCUGAAUCAGUGUGUGUGUUAGUGGAAGCGUCUGGAAAGGCGCGCGAUACAGGGUGACAGCCCCGUACACAAAAAUGCACAUAUUGUGAGCUCGAUGAGUAGGGCGGGACACGUGGUAUCCUGUCUGAAUAUGGGGGGACCAUCCUCCAAGGCUAAAUACUCCUGACUGACCGAUAGUGAACCAGUACCGUGAGGGAAAGGCGAAAAGAACCCCGGCGAGGGGAGUGAAAAAGAACCUGAAACCGUGUACGUACAAGCAGUGGGAGCCUCUUUAUGGGGUGACUGCGUACCUUUUGUAUAAUGGGUCAGCGACUUAUAUUCUGUAGCAAGGUUAACCGAAUAGGGGAGCCGAAGGGAAACCGAGUCUUAACUGGGCGUUAAGUUGCAGGGUAUAGACCCGAAACCCGGUGAUCUAGCCAUGGGCAGGUUGAAGGUUGGGUAACACUAACUGGAGGACCGAACCGACUAAUGUUGAAAAAUUAGCGGAUGACUUGUGGCUGGGGGUGAAAGGCCAAUCAAACCGGGAGAUAGCUGGUUCUCCCCGAAAGCUAUUUAGGUAGCGCCUCGUGAAUUCAUCUCCGGGGGUAGAGCACUGUUUCGGCAAGGGGGUCAUCCCGACUUACCAACCCGAUGCAAACUGCGAAUACCGGAGAAUGUUAUCACGGGAGACACACGGCGGGUGCUAACGUCCGUCGUGAAGAGGGAAACAACCCAGACCGCCAGCUAAGGUCCCAAAGUCAUGGUUAAGUGGGAAACGAUGUGGGAAGGCCCAGACAGCCAGGAUGUUGGCUUAGAAGCAGCCAUCAUUUAAAGAAAGCGUAAUAGCUCACUGGUCGAGUCGGCCUGCGCGGAAGAUGUAACGGGGCUAAACCAUGCACCGAAGCUGCGGCAGCGACACUAUGUGUUGUUGGGUAGGGGAGCGUUCUGUAAGCCUGUGAAGGUGGCCUGUGAGGGUUGCUGGAGGUAUCAGAAGUGCGAAUGCUGACAUAAGUAACGAUAAAGCGGGUGAAAAGCCCGCUCGCCGGAAGACCAAGGGUUCCUGUCCAACGUUAAUCGGGGCAGGGUGAGUCGACCCCUAAGGCGAGGCCGAAAGGCGUAGUCGAUGGGAAACAGGUUAAUAUUCCUGUACUUGGUGUUACUGCGAAGGGGGGACGGAGAAGGCUAUGUUGGCCGGGCGACGGUUGUCCCGGUUUAAGCGUGUAGGCUGGUUUUCCAGGCAAAUCCGGAAAACCAAGGCUGAGGCGUGAUGACGAGGCACUACGGUGCUGAAGCGACAAAUGCCCUGCUUCCAGGAAAAGCCUCUAAGCAUCAGGUAACAUCAAAUCGUACCCCAAACCGACACAGGUGGUCAGGUAGAGAAUACCAAGGCGCUUGAGAGAACUCGGGUGAAGGAACUAGGCAAAAUGGUGCCGUAACUUCGGGAGAAGGCACGCUGAUAUGUAGGUGAAGCGACUUGCUCGUGGAGCUGAAAUCAGUCGAAGAUACCAGCUGGCUGCAACUGUUUAUUAAAAACACAGCACUGUGCAAACACGAAAGUGGACGUAUACGGUGUGACGCCUGCCCGGUGCCGGAAGGUUAAUUGAUGGGGUUAGCGGUAACGCGAAGCUUUGAAUUUAAGCCCCAGUAAACGGCGGCCGUAACUAUAACGGUCCUAAGGUAGCGAAAUUCCUUGUCGGGUAAGUUCCGACCUGCACGAAUGGCGUAAUGAUGGCCAGGCUGUCUCCACCCGAGACUCAGUGAAAUUGAACUCGCUGUGAAGAUGCAGUGUACCCGCGGCAAGACGGAAAGACCCCGUGAACCUUUACUAUAGCUUGACACUGAACAUUGAGCCUUGAUGUGUAGGAUAGGUGGGAGGCUUUGAAGUGUGGACGCCAGUCUGCAUGGAGCCGACCUUGAAAUACCACCCUUUAAUGUUUGAUGUUCUAACGUUGGCCCGUAAUCCGGGUUGCGGACAGUGUCUGGUGGGUAGUUUGACUGGGGCGGUCUCCUCCUAAAGAGUAACGGAGGAGCACGAAGGUUGGCUAAUCCUGGUCGGACAUCAGGAGGUUAGUGCAAUGGCAUAAGCCAGCUUGACUGCGAGCGUGACGGCGCGAGCAGGUGCGAAAGCAGGUCAUAGUGAUCCGGUGGUUCUGAAUGGAAGGGCCAUCGCUCAACGGAUAAAAGGUACUCCGGGGAUAACAGGCUGAUACCGCCCAAGAGUUCAUAUCGACGGCGGUGUUUGGCACCUCGAUGUCGGCUCAUCACAUCCUGGGGCUGAAGUAGGUCCCAAGGGUAUGGCUGUUCGCCAUUUAAAGUGGUACGCGAGCUGGGUUUAGAACGUCGUGAGACAGUUCGGUCCCUAUCUGCCGUGGGCGCUGGAGAACUGAGGGGGGCUGCUCCUAGUACGAGAGGACCGGAGUGGACGCAUCACUGGUGUUCGGGUUGUCAUGCCAAUGGCACUGCCCGGUAGCUAAAUGCGGAAGAGAUAAGUGCUGAAAGCAUCUAAGCACGAAACUUGCCCCGAGAUGAGUUCUCCCUGACUCCUUGA